UACGUAGGUGGCAAGCGUUGUCCGGAAUUACUGGGCGUAAAGGGCCUGUAGGCGGCAUGGUAAGUCCGUAGUGAAAUCUCCCGGCUUAACUGGGAGCGGUCUAUGGAUACUGCCAGGCUAGAGAUCAUCAGAGGAGAGCGGAAUUCCCGGUGUAGUGGUGAAAUGCGUAGAUAUCGGGAGGAACACCAGUGGCGAAAGCGGCUCUCUGGGGUGGUUCUGACGCUGAGGGGCGAAAGCGUGGGGAGCAAACCGG
rnacentral:misc_RNA from 1 species